rnacentral:lncRNA from 1 species
AUGAAUUUGAAGUAUAUAUAUACAGAUCCACAACAACAAGCACAGUACUUAAACUAUGCAAAGAUUACCAUAUGAUGAACUACUACAUAAAUUUAUUUCAGUAAACCAUAUAUAUAUAUAAACAAUUACUCCAUAAUUAAGUUACAACUCAAAGCUCCAUCUAAUUGCACUACAUAUAUAAUGGAAAAGAGAUAAGUGACUUAAUUUGCCAAAGGAUUGAAAUUGCCCUGAUCGAUUUGAGAACAGAAAACUCAACUUAGCCACUCCCACCACCAUGAACGGCGGCCGCCCCAGUACCAAGGUGGUAUGACGACAUCCGGCAGCGCCUCCAUGGUUGUGGUGGCACCAAUUCUCAGAGGGAUAGACAUUAGCAAACUUGAUGUAAAUAUAAUAUAUAGGGUUUGUACCUAAGUGCAAUAUACUUA